rnacentral:rRNA from 1 species
CCUACGGGGGGCUGCAGUAGGGAAUAUUGGACAAUGGGCGCAAGCCUGAUCCAGCCAUGCCGCGUGAGUGAAGAAGGCCCUCGGGUUGUAAAGCUCUUUUGUCCGGAAAGAAAAGCAAUCGGUUAAUACCCGGUUGUUCUGACGGUACCGGAAGAAUAAGCACCGGCUAACUUCGUGCCAGCAGCCGCGGUAAUACGAAGGGUGCUAGCGUUACUCGGAGUUUCUGGACGUAGAUCGUGCGUAGGGGGUUGAAAGCCCUGGGCUCAACCUGGGAAUGGCAGUGGAUACUGGCGGGCUAGAGUGCGGUAGAGGGUAGUGGAAUUCCCGGUGUAGCAGUGAAAUGCGUAGAGAUCGGGAGGAACAUCUGUGGCGAAGGCGACUGCCUGGACCAGCACUGACACUGAGGCACGAAAGCGUGGGGAGCAAACAGGAUUAGAUACCCCAGUAGUC